AAGUCGUAACAAGGUUUCCGUAGGUGAACCUGCGGAAGGAUCAUUAUCGAAUCGAAUCUCAAAGUCUUGGGAGAGGCGAGGGAUUGUCGCUGGCCGGCGGGUGAUUCCGCCCGGCAUUGUGCACGUCUCUCGUUUGUUCCAUCUCUUUUUCACACCUGUGCACUCAUUGUAGGUCCUCGAGAGAGGAUCUAUGUUUUCAAUCCACCGUCGAUAACGUAUGUUUGUAGAAGGUCAUGAUAAAUUUAUACAACUUUCAGCAAUGGAUCUCUUGGCUCUC
rnacentral:misc_RNA from 1 species